rnacentral:lncRNA from 1 species
AUGAUCCUCUCUCACCUGCUGAUUGACAAGGUCUUGAGGCAAAAAUUUAGGAGGAGGAUUUUUUUUGAGAGAGGAGGAGGAGGAGGAGGAGGAGAGAGGGAGGAGGAGGAGGAGGAGGAGGAGGAGGGAGGGAGGGAGGGAGGGAGGGAGGGAGGGAGGAGGAGGAGGAGGAGGGAGGGAGGGAGGGAGGGAGGAGGAGGAGGGAGGGAGGAGGGAGGAGGAGGAGGAGGAGGAGGAGGAGGAGGAGGAGGAGGGAGGAGGGAGGAGGAGGAGGAGGAGGAGGAGGGAGGAGGAGGAGGAGGAGGGAGGAGAGGGAGGGAGGGAGGAGGAGGAGGAGGAGGAGGGAGGAGGAGGAGGGAGGAGGAGGAGGGAGGAGGAGGAGGGAGGGAGGAGGAGGAGGGAAGAGGAGGGAGGAGGAGGAGGAGGAGGAGGAGGAGGAGGAGGAGGAGGAGGGAGGGAGGGAGGGAGGAGGAGGAGGAGGAGGAGGAGGAGGAGGAGGAGGGAGGAGGAGGGAGGGAGGAGGGAGGGAGAGGAGGAGGAGGAGGAGGAGGAGGAGGAGGAGGGAGGGAGGAGGGAGGAGGAGGAGGAGGAGGAGGAGGAGGAGGAGGAGGAGGAGGAGGAGGAGGAGGAGGAGGAGGAGGAGGAGGAGGAGGAGGAGGAGGGAGGGAGGAGGAGGAGGAGGGAGGGAGGAGGAGGGAGGGAGGGAGGAGGAGGAGGGAGGGAGGAGGAGGAGGAGGAGGAGGAGGAGGAGGAGGAGGAGGAGGAGGAGGAGGAGGGAGGAGGAGGGAGGGAGGGAGGGAGGAGGGAAGGGAGGGAGGAGGAGGAGGGAGGAGGGAGGAGGAGGAGGAGGAGGGAGGGAGGGAGGGAGGGAGGGAGGAGGGAGGAGGAGGAGGAGGAGGAGGAGAGGAGGAGGGAGGAGGAGGAGGAGGAGGAAGGAGGAGGAGGAGGAGGAGGAGGAGGAGAGGAGGAGGAGGAGGAGGAGGGAGGGAGGAGGAGGGAGGGAGGAGAGGGAGGAGGGAGGAGGAGGAGGAGGAGGGAGGGAGGGAGGGAGGAGGAGGAGGAGGAGGAGGAGGAGGAGGAGGAGGGGAGAGGGGAGGAGGAGGAGGAGGAGGAGGAGGAGGAGGAGGAGGAGGAGGGAGAGGAGGAGGAGGAGGAGGAGGAGGAGGGAGGAGGGAGGGAGAGGGAGGAGGAGGGAGGAGGGAAGAGAGAGGGAGGAGGAGGAGGAGGGAGGGAGGAGGAGGAGGAGGAGGAGGAGGAGGGAGGAGGAGGAGGGAGGGAGGAGGAGGAGGAGGAGGAGGGAGGAGGAGGGAGGAGGGAGAGGGAGGGAGGGGAGGAGGAGGAGGGAGGGAGGGAGGGAGGGAGGGAGGAGGAGGAGGAGGAGGAGGAGGGAGGGAGGGAGGGAGGGAAGGAGGAGGAGGGAGGGAGAGGGAGAGAAGGGAGGAGGGAGGGAGGAGGAGGACUCCUCUCUCUUCCCUGGUUGACAAGUGA